AAGUCGUAACAAGGUAACCGUAGGUGAACCUGCGGUUGGAUCAUUAACAAAGAAACCCAGGGGCAUUGCUGCCGUGGGGUCCGUCCCCGCGUCUCCAGCAAUGUUCCCGACAGUUUUCCAACUGUCACACACCAUGUGAACCGUUUCUGUCUCUGGCGGGCGAGGGCCCAAGAGGUUGUUUUUCUUCCUUUUGGGACCUCAGCAUCAGGGGGUCCUUGAUGCGUCUGUGCGAUGGCCCUCCUACGUGGAGGGAGGAUUUGUACAGACACCCGUCGAUCGUGCAUCCAACCCAUUUUGUAUCUUGUCUGAACCUUUUUGUAUGAAACAAAUGUGCAAACAACUUUUGGCAACGGAUCUCUUGGCUCUC
rnacentral:misc_RNA from 1 species